rnacentral:rRNA from 1 species
AGUGAACGCUGGCGGUAGGCCUAACACAUGCAAGUCGAACGGCAGCACAGUAAGAGCUUGCUCUUACGGGUGGCGAGUGGCGGACGGGUGAGGAAUACAUCGGAAUCUACUUUUUCGUGGGGGAUAACGUAGGGAAACUUACGCUAAUACCGCAUACGACCUACGGGUGAAAGCAGGGGAUCUUCGGACCUUGCGCGAUUGAAUGAGCCGAUGUCGGAUUAGCUGGUUGGCGGGGUAAAGGCCCACCAAGGCGACGAUCCGUAGCUGGUCUGAGAGGAUGAUCAGCCACACUGGAACUGGGACACGGUCCAGACUGCUACGGGAGGCAGCAGUGGGGAAUAUUGGACAAUGGGCGCAAGCCUGAUCCAGCCAUACCGCGUGGGUGAAGAAGGCCUUCGGGUUGUAAAGCCCUUUUGUUGGGAAAGAAAAGCAGCAGGUUAAUACCCCGCUGUUCUGACGGUACCCAAAGAAUAAGCACCGGCUAACUUCGUG